GUGGGUGGAGAGAGCAGAGCGCCUGAAGAAUGGCUCCUCUGAGUAGAGCACAUCCGAAGAGCAACGUGGGCUUCCUCCUCACGGUGGCAGAACACUGUGGCCUUCUGUGACACUAUGCCCCAUCCAU